AUUGAACGCUGGCGGCAGGCCUAACACAUGCAAGUCGAGCGAGCGGCGGACGGGUGAGUAAUGUAUGGGGACUGCCCGAUAGAGGGGGAUAACUAAUGGAAACGGUGGCUAAUACCGCAUACUAUCGGAUAACCAAUAUGGGAUUAGCUAGUAGGUGGGGUAAAGGCUCACCUAGGCGACGAUCACUAGCUGGGCUGAGAGGAUGAGCAGCCAGCCUGGGACUGAGACACGGCCCAGACUCCUACGGAGGCAGCAGUAGGGAAUAGUGCACAAUGGGCGCAAGCCUGAUGCAUCCAUGCCGCGUGUAUGAAGAAGGCCUUCGGGUUGUAAAGUACUUUCAGCAGGGAGGCGUUACCCGCAGAAGAAGCAACGGCUAACUCCGUGCCAGCAGCCGCGGUAAUAC
rnacentral:rRNA from 1 species